rnacentral:tRNA from 1 species
GGAGGGUAACCGAAUGGUUAGGAAGCUGAUUCGAAAUCAGUCGCUGGCAACAGUUGCGGGUUCGACUCCCGUGCCCUCCG